rnacentral:rRNA from 1 species
UACGUAGGUGGCAAGCGUUGUCCGGAUUUACUGGGUGUAAAGGGCGUGCAGCCGGGCUGACAAGUCAGAUGUGAAAUCCCGCGGCUCAACCGCGGAACUGCAUUUGAAACUGUCAGUCUUGAGUACCGGAGAGGUCAUCGGAAUUCCUUGUGUAGCGGUGAAAUGCGUAGAUAUAAGGAAGAACACCAGUGGCGAAGGCGGAUGACUGGACGGCAACUGACGCUGAGGUUCGAAAGCGUGGGUAGCAAACAGG